rnacentral:tRNA from 1 species
UUUUUAGUCGUAUAAAAAUUACAUUAUUUUUUCGUAAUAAAGAUAUUUAUUAAUUAAAUCUAAAAGC